rnacentral:rRNA from 1 species
AGUCGCACGAGAAAGUCCCCGCACGGGGACGAGUAAAGUGGCAGACGGGUGAGUAACACGUGAACAACCUACCCUGGAGCGUGGAAUAACUCCGCGAAAGUGGGGCUAAUACCGCAUAACAUCCCUGGGUCGCAUGAUCCGGGGAUCAAAGGCUCCGGUCGCUUCAGGAAGGGUUCGCGGCUGAUUAGCUAGUUGGUGAGGUAACGGCCCACCAAGGCGACGAUCAGUAGCCGACCUGAGAGGGCGGACGGCCACACUGGAACUGUGACACGGUCCAGACUCCCACGGGAGGCAGCAGUGGGGAAUUUUGCGCAAUGGGCGAAAGCCUGACGCAGCAACGCCGCGUGGAGGAUGAAGGCCUUCGGGUCGUAAACUCCCGUCAGGGGGGACGAAAUGUUCUGCGCAAGCGGGGCACUGACUGUACCCCCGGAGGAAGCCACGGCUAACUCCGUGCCAGCAGCCGCGGUAAUACGGAGGUGGCAAGCGUUGUUCGGAAUUACUGGGCGUAAAGGGCGCGUAGGCGGCAGGGCAAGUCAGAUGUGAAAGCCCCGGGCUUAACUUGGGAAUUGCAUCUGAAACUGCCUUGCUUGAGUCCUGGAGGGGGUAGUGGAAUUCCCAGUGUAGCGGUGAAAUGCGUAGAUAUUGGGAGGAACACCUGCGGCGAAAGCGGCUACCUGGACAGUGACUGACGCUGAGGCGCGAAAGCUAGGGGAGCGAACGGGAUUAGAUACCCCGGUAGUCCUAGCCGUAAACGAUGG